rnacentral:piRNA from 1 species
UGCGGUAUAACCUGCAAGCAUCCCC